CCCUUAGAUGUUCGGGGCCGCACGCGCGCUACACUGAAGGAAUCAGCACGUCUUUCUCCUUGUCCGAAAGGACUGGGUAACCCGCUGAACCUCCUUCGUGCUAGGGAUUGGGGCUUGUAAUUCUUCCCCAUGAACGAGGAAUUCCCAGUAAGCGCGAGUCAUAAGCUCGCGUUGAUUACGUCCCUGCCCUUUGUACACACCGCCCGUCGCUACUACCGAUUGGAUGGUUUAGUGAGACCCUCGGAUUGGUCCCGGAGCGGCCUCUGGUCGUGCCGGAGUGCCGAAAAGAAUGUCGAACUUGAUCAUCUAGAGGAAGUAAAAGUCGUAACA
rnacentral:rRNA from 1 species